rnacentral:ncRNA from 1 species
CAGUGGGAGAGUUCAUCCAGCAAUUAGCACGGCUGGCUGGCGCCGAAGGAGCAACCGCCCCGGGAAACUCUCAGGCCCCAGGACCGCAGGGA